rnacentral:rRNA from 1 species
AUUGAACGCUGGCGGCAUGCUUUACACAUGCAAGUCGAACGGUAACGCGGACUUCGGUCUGGCGACGAGUGGCGAACGGGUGAGUAAUGCAUCGGAACGUAUCCAUUUGUGGGGGAUAGCCCGGCGAAAGCCGGAUUAAUACCGCAUAAUCUCUGAGGAGGAAAGUGGGGGACCUUCGGGCCUUACGCUGAUGGAGCGGCUGAUGUCGGAUUAGCUUGUUGGUAGGGUAAAGGCCUACCAAGGCGACGAUCCGUAGCUGGUCUGAGAGGACGACCAGCCACACUGGAACUGAGACACGGUCCAGACUCCUACGGGAGGCAGCAGUGGGGAAUUUUGGACAAUGGGGGCAACCCUGAUCCAGCCAUGCCGCGUGCGGGAAGAAGGCCUUCGGGUUGUAAACCGCUUUCAGACGGAAAGAAACAGUGCAAGCUAAUACCUUGUACGAAUGACGGUACCGUCAGAAGAAGCACCGGCUAACUACGUG